AUACGAAGGGGGCUAGCGUUGCUCGGAAUCACUGGGCGUAAAGCGCACGUAGGCGGACUCUUAAGUCGGUGGUGAAAUCCUGGAGCUCAACUCCAGAACUGCCUUCGAUACUGAGAGUCUCGAGUCCGGGAGAGGUGAGUGGAACUGCGAGUGUAGAGGUGAAAUUCGUAGAUAUUCGCAAGAACACCAGUGGCGAAGGCGGCUCACUGGCCCGGUACUGACGCUGAGGUGCGAAAGCGUGGGGAGCGAACAGGA
rnacentral:rRNA from 1 species